GAACAAAAUAUGCAGUGUUACUGGGGUCUAGCUCUUCUUUUUGGAUUUCUUCCUGUAAUCUGCUCUGCCAGUUACGCAAGAUUCAGUACCUUUCAUGGUUGGGCCCCAUGGGGAUCUUGGAGUCAAUGCUCUACAACCUCUGGUUAUGGCGUUCAGACAAGACACAGGAACUGUCACUCUUUUUCUGCCUGUCCUGUUGGCGGAGAUGAAUCAAAAAUAUGUGUGACGGCAGUACACGGAGGAUGGAGUUCCUGGACCACCUAUUCUUGUAGCACGUCUUGUGGUGGCGGACAAGCUCUGAGAUUACGAUCUUGUACGAACCCUGUUCCAGUGUUUGGGGGAUCCCAAUGCAGAGGACAACCUAUAGAAUUCGUAUCAUGCAAUACUCAUCCUUGCCAUAGCAGCUACGCAACAACAAGUAACUUCAAAGGUUGGGCAUCAUGGACAUCUUGGAGUCAUUGCUCGUCUACUUCUGGCAUUGGUUCUCGAACAAGACACAGAAAUUGCAUUUCUUCCCAUGCCUGUCCUGUUGGAGGAGAUGAAGCAAAGCCAUGUAUAAUAGCAGUGCAUGGAGGAUGGAGUUCGUGGACAACAUAUUCUUGUACUAAGUCUUGUGGAGGCGGACACGCUUUUAGGCUAUGAUCUUGUACGAACCCUGUUCCAUUGUUUGGAGGAUCUGAUUGCCAAGGACAGAUUUAUGAAUACUUACCAUGUAAUACUCACCCUUGUUAUGGUCCUACGGCGUCGACGACUCUACCAACUACAACCAGAGUAACACCAAGUACAACUACAACACCACCAACUACUACCAAUCCAAACACCAAACAAUCACCAACAACAAGUACUGCACCACCAACUACCACUACCACACCAACAACUACCACUACUGCACCACCUACUACCACUACGUUACCAACAACUACCACUACCACAACAACAACUACCACUACCACACCAACAACUACUAUCACGACACAACCAACAACCACUAAACCACAAUUAACAACAACAAAGUCGACACCAACUACAACGAAAACAAGAUUUUUUACAAUACGUGCUUUAAUGACGUAAUGAUAAUGGAUUAACUUUGUUAUGAUACUGUCUUACCAUCAGUGUAAUCGAUAUCUUCAUUUUGCUUACGUACAGCUGUAAUAGUACGCUUAGUAAUACGUUAGAAAAGGGUUAGGCUUAGCACAAGGUAUACAUAUGUCUAAGCUACAAAUUUUCUCAGAGUCUGUAGUUAUAAGUAAGCCUAGUAAUACUAAUGUUUCAUCACUACAUUUUUGAAUUUUUUUUUACAUUUGCUUUGACAUUUUUAAUCAUAAUUCCAUAAAAAUUGUUUUGUAGGAAAACAGGUUUAUUAUUUACAAAAGAGAGAAUUCUACUGUACCGUAAAUUGCAAGAUUUUUUGUUAAAGAAACGGAAGCUUAAAUACUUGUCCACCAUAUUCUCAAGUCCUAUAAAGUUUAGUUUCAUGUUAGAAUGUAUAAGGUAAAAUCAAAAUAGAGGUUAUAUGCAAUUUUGACGUUUUUAAAGGGUUAAGAUAGAACAAAAAACGUUGUAAUGCUUCAAAUGCUUCGACGGCUUUUCGCUGAACAAGAAUUGAUAUUUCGUAAUGCAUACUUCUAUAGUCGUUACUGCUUAUAAAAAGUUUAAAUAUUGAAUUGAAGUUUUGAAAAGUAAAUGUGUUUAUAUACUUGCGUUUUGAGUUGUUUAUAUUAUUAAAUUAUUCUAUUCUUG